ACUGAGAGAUCCGGGCGUUUCAUGAUUCCGGCGCCUCGGAUGGCACCCUUUCGCAGCUGCUGCUUGCAGUCCUGGCCGCCGCACCGGCAGACCACUGGUGUCUGCCACCUCUUCAGUCAGCGCACGCAGGGCAGCCCGCGAUUCCGCGUACGUCAGCCGCGAAGCGCCCUGGGCGGUCAGCCUCACGCGUGCGGUGGUUGUGGGCGACAGCACUCCGCGUCCAUGCGCUCGUUUAGUGGCGCGAGCGGCUGGGUGGUGCACGCCUGAUUGGGCGCACGGUCCAGUAGGUCGCCGCCUCCCUGGCUUACGCUGCUGCGCCCGAGUCGGCAUGGGGCUGCGGGAUCCCGUGUGAUCAGGUCUCACCGGCGCCCCUUGCCAGGCUAUACUCUGGGGUGCACGGCGUAGCUGCAAGUAGUCCCUAGGUGAGUUGGGCGGGUGCUCCCACGACACGCUCCCUCCGGGGAGUGCCACUAGUUGAUGACACGCGGUGAGCUCCCACGCUGCCGUGGGAGGACGACCUGUUGAUGCUCUGCACCGCGUGCCUGUUGGAACAUGCGCCGGCGCCUCCAUGGGUGGCUUCGGUUAACGCGGAUCCCGUAGGGCCGUCGCGCAGCGACGUCUUCCUACGGGCGCAUUGUCACUAGUGCUUCUGGACCCGCCUGCGGCUGAUCUCUCAUCGACCAUGGUGCGCUUGGGCUGACGCUCAGUGCGGUCGAGCGGGGCGACUGCUGUUGACACGCAUCAGCGGCUGAGUUGUGGUUCGGGGUGACCACUCCCCUCCCGCACCGCGCCGACAGCUAGGCUGGUUCUCCGUCCCUUGGUUGACGUGCGGGCCGCCGUUGCCUGGCACAUUAGGGGUCGGCCCUGUUUCGGUGGGCGGGCCGCGGAGCGGUCACCCGCCUCGCACGGGGCACCUCUGACAUAUCUCGACUCAUGGCCCCGCACACGGGUCGGUCGGCCAGUGAGCGCUGGGGGACUCAGGCUUCAAUCGUCGAGAGGGAGCCGCCCGGACUCACUCCCACGCUCAGGGCCCCUACAGUGCCCGGCAUCAGUGAUACAUGGAGGUGGGGUGCCGCGCAAGCAGGAGGAUUUCCUGACGGCGCCACCGCUUGACAGAGUGGACGUAUUCAAGUCACUCUGGAUCGGCGAUCUUGCGCGCGGAGUGCCGGGGGCUAAUCGGCCGAUCUGCCGAGCUGUGGGAUGUAAAAAUGCAUCGGUAAGGGAAAAAGGCGUUCGCUUAAGAGGAAGGCACGCACGCGCAAAGCAGGUGUGGUGGAGGCGAAGGCGGAAGCGGAAUGUCGCUGGAGUAUAGCGCAAACAUCUGGUGAGAAAUCCAAUGCCCCAUAUGCCCCGAAAACCUAAGGGUUUCGCUCCGCAAGUUCGGUUGCCACGGAGGUGAGUCAGGGGCUAAGAUCAGGCCGAAAGGCGUAGUCGAUUGGACAACAGGUGAAAUAUUUCGCUUGUACUUACCCGCUUUGUUGUUUACGGCGGUGAGGGGACGGAGGAGGCUAGGUUAGGCCGAACAGAUGGUUAUCGGUUCAAGGACGCAGGUGAGCGUUGGCUUUUUCAGGCGGUAAAGCAAGGGGUAAGAGGAAAUGCCUCGAGCCUAAUGUCCGACGUACGCUUGUAAGGACGCUACGGCGGCUGAGUAACCCAUGCAUACUUGCCCAGAAAAGCUCGAGCGACCUUCAAGCAAGAGGUGUACCUGUACCCGAAACGACAGCAGGUGGGUAGUGUAGGAGAAUAUCCUAGGGGCGGGCGUAGACAAACUCUCUCUAAGGUAAGCUCGCAAAAUGGCUCGGCCGUAACUUCGGGAGUAUAAGGAGGUGGCCUUCGCUUCAAAAAGGGGUUGUCGGCAGUGACGCUAGGCCGGAGCGACUGUUUCCGAAAAUACACAGGUCUCUGCUCACGCAAAAGUUCGUAAGACGCAUGUUAUAGUGGGGCUGACGGCCUGCCCAUGGCCGGAAAGGUCAAGGAUUUUGGUGGUACCGCUGAUGACAAGGGGAUGGCCGGCGAUCCCCCCGGAAGCCCCGGUGAAUCGGUCGGCCGUAAAAGCUAUAUCGGUCCUAAGGUAGCGAAAUUUCGCUUGUCGGAGUAAGUUCCGGACCGCGCACGAAAAGGGCGUAAGCGUCUCGGGGCAGCUGGUCUCGGAGAGUGGUGCAGGCUCGGUGAAUAGACAUGCUCUGUGAGAGAUGCGGAUAGCCUGGGCACUUGGAGGGCAGAAUAAAGACGCCUAAUGAAGCUUUACUGUUCUGGGCCUCGGGAUUGGCUUUGGGCCUUGUCCUGCGGCAGGGCUUAGUGGCAGGCGCGAAGAAGGCCUCCUUGGCGGGGGGGCCCGAGCCAUACAGUGGGCCAGAGCUAUCAGACCCUAUCUGGAAGAGGCUAGACAUUAUCUAAUCCUUCGUGUCAGAACGCUAGGGCGGCAAUGGACAGUCUCAGGUAGUAGCAGUUUCUAUGGGGCGAUAGGUCCUCGCCAAAAGAGUAACGAGGCGCGCAAGUAGGUUUCCUCGGGCCGGACGAUGAUUGGCCUCGAGUGCAGGGCUAGAGGGAGCUUGACUGCAAGCGCCACCGUUCGAGCAAGGGAGCGAAAGUCGCUUAGUUUUGAUGCCGUGACGGUGCGAGUAGAGGGCCGUCGCUCAACCGGAUAAAAGUUAUGUCUAUGGGAUAAAGCUGAUCUUCCCCAAUUGAAAAAGGCAGGGAAAAGGACGGCGAACGAGUUCAGCAUCGCAGCGGGAAGGUUUGUUUGGCACCUCGAUGUCGGCUCUUCGCCACCUGGGGCUGUAGUAUGUUCCAAGGGUUGGGCUGUUCGCCCAUUAAAGCGGUACGUGAGCUGGGUUCAGAACGUCGUGAGACAGUUCGGUCCAUAUCCGGUGCGGGCGUUAGAGCAUUGAGAGGACCUUUCCCUAGUACGAGAGGACCGGGAAGGACGCACCUCUGGUGUACCAGUUAUCGUGCCUACGGUAAACGCUGGGUAGCCAAGUGCGGAGCGGAUAACUGCUGAAAGCAUCUAAGUAGUAAGCCCACCCCAAGAUGAGUGCUCUCCUAUUCCGACUUCCCCAGAGCCUCCGGUACCACAGCCGAGACAGCGGCGGGUUCUCUACCCCUGUGGGGAUGGAGCGACAGAAGUAUUGAGAAUCCAAGAUAAGGUCACGACGAGAUGAGCCGUUUAUCAUUACGAUAGGUGUCAAGUGGAAGUGCAGUGAUGUAUGCAGCUGAGGCAUCCUAACAGACCGAGAGAUUUGAAC
rnacentral:rRNA from 1 species